rnacentral:rRNA from 1 species
UGAGAAACGGCAGAGCGGCGUGCCAAUACAUGCAAUCGCGAGCGGACAGAUGGGAGCUUGCUCCUUCGAUGUUAGCGGCGGACGGGUGAGUAACACGUGGGUAACCUGCCUGUAAGACUGGGAUAACUCCGGGAAACCGGGGCUAAUACCGGAUGCUUGAUUGAACCGCAUGGUUCAAUUAUAAAAGGUGGCUUUUAGCUACCACUUACAGAUGGACCCGCGGCGCAUUAGCUAGUUGGUGAGGUAACGGCUCACCAAGGCAACGAUGCGUAGCCGACCUGAGAGGGUGAUCGGCCACACUGGGACUGAGACACGGCCCAAACUCCUACGGGAGGCAGCAGUAGGGAAUCUUCCGCAAUGGACGAAAGUCUGACGGAGCAACGCCCCGUGAGUGAUGAAGGUUUUCGGAUCGUAAAACUCUGUUGUUAGGGAAAAACAAGUACCGUUCGAAUAGGGCGGUACCUUGACGGUACCUAACCAGAAAGCCACGGCUAACUACGUGCCAGCAGCCGCGGUAAUACUUAGGUGGCAAGCGUUGUCCGGAAUUAUGGGGCGUAAAGCGCGCGCAGGCGUUUUCUAAAGUCUGAUGUGAAACCCCCCGCUCAACCGGGGAGGGUCAUUGAAAACUGGGGACUUGAUUCAAAAAAGGAAAGGGAUUUCCCCCUUUACCUUAAAUUCGUAAAGUGGGAAGAACCCAUGGCCAAGGGCAC